rnacentral:rRNA from 1 species
AGUGAACGCUGGCGGUAGGCCUAACACAUGCAAGUCGAACGGCAGCACAGUAAGAGCUUGCUCUUACGGGUGGCGAGUGGCGGACGGGUGAGGAAUACAUCGGAAUCUACUUUUUCGUGGGGGAUAACGUAGGGAAACUUACUCUAAUACCGCAUACGACCUACGGGUGAAAGCAGGGGAUCUUCGGACCUUGCGCGAUUGAAUGAGCCGAUGUCGGAUUAGCUAGUUGGCGGGGUAAAGGCCCACCAAGGCGACGAUCCGUAGCUGGUCUGAGAGGAUGAUCAGCCACCCUGGAACUGAGCCACGGUCCAGAGUCCUACGGGAGGCAGCAGUGGGGAAUAUUGGACAAUGGGCGCAAGCCUGAUCCAGCCAUACCGCGUGGGUGAAGAAGGCCUUCGGGUUGUAAAGCCCUUUUGUUGGGAAAGAAAAGCAGCAGGUUAAUACCCCGCUGUUCUGACGGUAACCAAAGAAUAAGCACCGGCUAACUUCGUG